UUACCGACCUCCUCAUAGCCAGCGCUAAUGAAGGUCGUCCCGUUGCUUGCAUAAUCUACGGCAUCCUGAUUCCUUGGGUAGCAGAGGUGGCGCAUAGUCUUCACAUCCCCUCCGCACUUUUUUGGAGUCAACCUGUCUCUGUUUUUAAUAUCUAUUAUUAUUAUUUUUGUGGCUAUGGAGAGCUCAUUCGCAAGAAAGUCCGUGACUCCUCGCCUUCCAUUGAAUUACCAGGACUGCCCUUGCUCAGUAGCCGUGACAUUCCCUGUUUCCUACUCCCCUCAAAUGCAAAUGAAUACAACUUCGUCCUUUCAGCGUUUGAGAAGCACCUAGAGAUGCUCCACCGUGAUACCAACCCAACGGUACUGAUAAACACUUUCGAUGCAUUGGAACCAGAGGCCCUAAGGGCCGUCAGUAAGUUUAAGUCGAUUGGAGUUGGACCCUUGUUUCCAACCGCUUUCUUGGGUGGAAAAGAUCCAUCCGAUACUUCAUUUGGAGGUGAUCUUUUCCGUCGUUCAAAGGAUUAUAUUGAAUGGCUGAACUCAAAGCCUGAAUCUUCUGUCAUUUACGUGUCAUUUGGAAGCCUAGCGGUGUUAUCGAAGCAACAGUCUGAGGAGAUUGCUCGUGGAUUGCUGGACAGUGGCCGGCCUUUCCUGUGGGUCAUAAGAGCCAAGGAGAAGGGAGAAGAAGAGAAAGAAGAAGAUAAACUAAGUUGCUACGCAGAAUUAGAACAACAAGGGAUGAUAGUACCAUGGUGUUCUCAGGUUGAGGUUCUCUCAAAUCCAUCACUGGGUUGUUUCGUGACUCAUUGUGGGUGGAAUUCAACCUUGGAGAGCUUGGCUUCUGGGGUGCCAGUUGUGGCAUUUCCUCAGUGGACCGACCAAUCCACGAAUGCAAAGCUAGCCGAAGACGUGUGGAAAACGGGUGUACGGGUGACCGUGAACCAAGAAGGAAUAGUUGAAAGCGAUGAGAUUAAGAGGUGCUUGGAAUUGGUCAUGGGAGAUGGAGAGGAGGCGAAAGAAAUGAGAAGGAAUGCAAAGAAAUGGAAGGGUUUGGCAAGGGAGGCUGUGAUGGAAGGUGGAUCAUCUGACAAGAAUCUUAAGAAUUUUAUGGAUGAGGUCAUACAAGGUUACUAGCUAGAUAUUGUGGUUGUAUCUCUUGGAGUUUAUGUUAAGACUCCCCGAUUAAUUUAAAUAUUUUACAAGAAGAUUUUUAUUAUUUAUGAUGUUAAUACAAGUAGUAGUAUUAAUUAAUGGUAGAGGGCAUAUCUAAAAUUAUGGGAGAUUCAUUGCUUCCUGAAGGCCCUAUCACAAAGGAUCUGUCAAAUGCGUGGCUAAGGUGCUGUUUGGUAAAUGUCCGUUACCAGCCAAAAUUUUGCAAUUAUUGCUAAUGGGAAUCAGGGAAACCCCAAACUGGCCUUGAUGGUCCUUGCGUAAAGACCCAUCCAAUUCUUUACAUUGUGGCCACUGAUUUGGUGUCUUAUCCUCUCAUGCCCAUCACUUCAUGUUUACAAAUUGAUAUUGUAUUCAUAGCUAUUUUUGAUGAAGGUUCAAUUGGCAAGAAGUAUUUUUGCCUUGGGAAGAUGUUGGUUAUGGAUUCAAAGCAAAAUAACAGAUUAAAAAAAUGAUCCUUGUACAAAUUUUUGGGUGCCUCUAUUAAUUAAGUGAAUAUUAUUAUUUAAUUGAUAAAUUAAUAAUUUAUUAAUUUAAUUACUUAUUAAUUAAAUCUCUGGAAUAAUUCUAUUAUGGAACCUAUCUUGCACUAAGAAGCAUCCAUAGCGAUAAUAAUAUUAAAUAAAUUUUUGUUAUAGUACGAGAAUGUUACAUCAGACCUUUUUUUUUUUUUUUUUUUUUUCAUAUUAGGAAUAGUUGAAGAUGAGAUUCAAGUAAACAUCAGUUUUAAGAAGAAAUAACACAUAUAUUUUAAGAAGGAUUCUUGAUAAAACAUAUGAAUUUAAUUACACAUUAGAAAAUUAUUAAUUUCUAUAAUAUGUGGAUUUUAUAUGAAACUACAUAGAUUUUUUAUUUUAUAAAUUUAUCAAAUUAUUAGUUUAGCACGGUGGCCCCAAGUUUAGAUUAAUUAAAAAAAAUUAAUUGAAGUUCUUAAUUAAUUAAAUAUUAAAUUAUUAUAAAGUUUUAUUGUAUUUUAUUUUCAUGGUUCUAAAAAUUGGAUUGAACUAGUCGAUUUGAUUGGUUUGAGCAUUGAUUGACUAUGUAUUUUACAUAUGAGAUCGAUUAUGAGUUGCACUUUCAUCCCAAGGUAUUUUAAAAUUAGGAAAAUCAAUCCCAAGGUAUCUAUUUUUCUUUUCUUAGUCUAUUCACUAUUGUCCAAACACUCCAUAUGUGGAAUGUGGAAUGUAACUUGGAGGGGCUUGAAUAUGCAGAGUUUUAUAACUUUGCACAUUAAUGUCUCAAAGUGUUAAAAUCUUUUACAACUAAUUGUAGAUAAGUUUAGUAUUGACAAAUAAUUUUAUUACAAUUAAAUAAAAUAUUAGAAUUUUUUUAUUAUCCUACUAAUUUUAUGACAAUCAAAUUUAUACAAAAGUAAUUCUUGGUGUCUCGUGUUACUAAAAACAGAAACUCACUUAAGAACUCAUCACGCCUUUGGUGGAGAAAGAUACUUCAUGGGAUGCUAGUAUUAAUUCUCAAGCAGUGGACCUAGGUGAGAGUAAGAAGAAAACCAAAAUAGUAGAACACUCAUCUAAAUUGUCCCAAAAAAAUGGAGGACAAAAUUCCCAAGAAAGUUCAAUAAACAAGUACAAGAAAAGCCAUGAAAGCCCAUUAUUUUUGGAAACAAUGUCAAAUAUUGAAGAAAUUGUCAAAGCAAAAUAUUGAACUUUCAACUUUAGGCACUUAAACAUACUAAUAAGGGGGGGAAUGAACAUAUUACAUAUGACAGUCCUUUAUCGUCGUAUUGACUUUUUUGAUAUGGUGGUAAAGUAUGAAGUGCUUGCAAGAGGGCUAUUAUCAUAUAUGGAAAAUGAUGAGAAAUCCAUACUAUAUAUGGUGAGCUAGAAAAGAAAAAGGCAAGCUAGUGAAAAGAUGCAAAGCCUUGCACUCUAGUUACAAGACGAGUUGCUUUUGUUUGAGGUGCACUUCUACUCACCCAUUAGCCAUAAAUGUAUGCAUUAUUCACAUGCAUUCACUUGGGUCAAGCAUUUUAAUUGUUCAUCUUCAUUACCAAAAAGAAUAAGUUAUUAGCUAGCUAGGUGAUAGAUGAGAAAUAUGUAUCAAGUUAGAAAAAUGCUAAGUUACAUAAUAGGUAUCACACUGAAUUCUAAAUUUGAGCUACUAAUGUGUGGAACAAAACAUGGAUUGUAAAAUACCAAUACUAAAAGAUGAGACUUAGAUAUAAAGAAAUAAAAUAAAAUAAAGUAGAAAAAAAAUAUAAUCUUAGUAUAAUUAAUAAAUAGAAACUUGUUAGAUGCAUGAACAAAAAAGAUCAUUUUUCCACAUAUAUUGACUUUUUGUCAGCUAUCCCUUUUUUUUAUGAGGUAUGGAAAGCAAUUUCCCUAUCAUAGAAUGAUUAAUAAAUGCAUGGGAAAAUAAUUGAACACAUUAAUGAGAUUCAAAUUCAAGAUUCAUAAGCCAAGGUACCUAUUAAAAGCUGCUAGUUGACCUAUAAGUUUAAGCUGAUAGAAAAAUAAUGAUAUCAAGCUUACCAGGAUUAGAUGAAGGGAUUAUAAAAAAGAUAAAAAUAAAAUUAUUGUGUGCAUUCCAAGAAUAGCGACUUGUGAUUGUAUGAGUGGGUGCAAAAAGUGAAGUUAGCCUAUAAGAUUCAUUUCUCCAAUCCUCUCAACAAAGACCACUAGACUGCUAAAGAAUUAUUUGCUACUACAAAUGAGCAACUCCAUCAAGAAGCUAAGGAAUGGCUAAUGCUUACCAUAGAGAAUUGCACCACUCUUUCUAUUUUCAUAGCCACUGUUGCCUUUGCUACAACCUACAUGGUACCAGAGUAAAAAACUUAGAGAUAUGAAGAAAAGAAGAGAUGCGGAGCACCUAUUUGAGAGAAAAUCGGAGAGAUAAAAACUAAAAAAAUUGAACAACUUAGUAUCAUUGAUAAGAACUUUGUUUCUUAUAUACAAAUAUUCAGAAAUUAGUUACAAACAACUGAUUACUACUCAAAAAGUGCUAUUUGAUAGCUUAUAAUUAAUCCUUUUAAACACUUUUGAGUAGUAGUUUUGGCCUUUUAACUCAAUUGGCAUGUUAAGGACCCUUGAAAGCAAUUUUAAUCACUUUGUGUAAGUUUUGGUGUUUUUGUUAGUAUUUUGAUCACCAAAGCAAUUCAAGAUUGAGGAGAAUUUUGAGGAAUCUUGGGCAAAGAUUGGAAGUCAUUUGCCAAGAGUAAAUCCGAAGUGCAAGGAGAAAAAGUAAAGAGAAUCUGCCAUGAAGCAUAUUCUUGAUGACAGUCGUGGCAGCCACUUUUGGAGCACUUUCUGAAGUCCAAUUGAUGCAUGCUAUAUACCAUUUCAAAGAUCAGGAAGUCAACAAUCUAAUGCUUCAAACGGUGCACAAUUCGGAGUUGAAACGAAGAAGUUGCAGCCAUUGCAAGCCAAUCACUCCAAGCUGAAGGAAGCAUUUUCCAAAGUGUUGCGAAAUCACCCUUUUGUUGCGAAGUGAUUUCGCAGCAUUUUUGUACAGUAUGGUGUAUUUCCUCCUGAAGUUGCCCGAUAUAUGCCGCAAGCUGGAAGCUGAGAGCAUCAAGGUAGAAGCCAACUUCGCAGCCCUGCGAAGAUAGCAUGUUGUUGCGAAAUGAUUUCGCAGCCCUUCUUGAGUGUCUGCGAAAUCUCGCAGACACCAUUUUCUCUUGCGGAAUGGUUCCUGGAGCAUCCCGAUAUUUGCUACCGACAUUGGGAGAUAUUUUACAUCAGAUUUUUGUUGUCUAAAUCCCAAAAUACUCCUUGUAAGCCACCAAUUACAAGAUUCCUUAGCUUUAAGUUAGUAAAAAGAGAAAAUAUCUAUGUAAUAAUUAGUUUUAUAUUAUGUUCAUAUAAAUACCUCUCGGGAGCCUGUUCUCAGAGAGAGCCUUUUGUAAAGUUUUAGGUAAGCAAGUAAAGUUCAGUUCUUUGUAUUACCUUACCUUCUCACUUUGUAUAUUUUAUUUUCUUACUAAGUUAUGAACUCUCUGAGGAGUUUUCCCCAGAGAAUGAGUAACUAAACCUCUAAUUCCUUGGAGCUAAGGUUGCCGGGGAAGGUUCCAAGUGCAAGAAUGCAAAGCUUUGUGGUUUUAGCUAGUAAUGAAGAGGAAGUGAAAUCCUUUAGUGAUUUCUAUGUUUUUAGUUAACUUAAAACACCUUAGAGUCAUCUGGGCCAACACUUGGUAAGGCAAGUGAUUUCCAACCAUGGAAAUGCACUAGUUUACCCUUUGCGAGCCUCUGGAAGGUGACUUUAGGGUAGGAUUUUCUAGAAUAGCCAACACUUGGUAAGCUUUUGGACUCCAAGGAGACAUCCAUUAGUUAUCUCUUGCGAGCUUUUGAAGGGAAGUCCAAGGUUAAAGAUCAUCUUGAAUGGUAAGUGCUCGUGAGAGGCAUGAACCAUUGCAAGUUGUAUCAAUGAGAGAAUUAAAGUUGAAAUCCAAUUAAAGGAUGUAUCUGUACAACACCGGUUAGAGAAUUGACUAUAUGUUGAAUCUCUAACGCGAGGAAAGGAACCAUCUGACCGGAGCUAUGUCUUUUGCAUGAGGAACCACCCCAGUGAACCUAACUCUCCAAGGAAUGCUUUUCUUCCUAAGUUAUUCCGAGUACUUGUUAUGUUAGUUAGUUUAAAUCUUUACCAAUCAAAGUUUGUGUUUUAUUUCUUAAGCUAACCUUGAAAUGAAACAAGACCAAUUCACUUGGAAUUGGUAUCAUUGAUAGCUUGCUAAUCCUUCCCAGUGAACGAUCCUAGAGCCGUUAUACUAUAGUAGCUUUUUCUUUGCUACCCUAGUAUAUGGUGUUAUAGGUUAUAAAUUUUGUUGAUUACUCCCUCUAUCAAGGAGCACCAGUUGGACACGAAUCAGCUGAGACACCAAUUGGGCACGAAUCAAAUGGCGCCGUUGCCGGGGAAUGUGUCAAUUUUAUAGCGAUACCAUUUUUUAGCACUUGUGAUUGUCAUCACAAGUUUGGUAACGUUUCUUUCACUUUACUAAUUCUCAUUCUUUCUUUAUUUAUUCAUAAUCCAAGUUUAUCUUUUAAAUUCAGCUUAGUUUAAUUUUGUUUUUCGUAGCCCUGUUUUCUUUUGUUGUCCUUUAUUUUCAUUUUAGUUGCAGAUAGAUACUAGUUGUGUAUGCCAAAUUGGAUACGAGACAGUGGAGGAAGACUUGUUAAGUGUGAUACACCUCAUAACAAAGAAUUUGAGUUGAGCUUGAAUAUCAUGGAAACUACACCUGAAGAUCAGCAUAGUCACCAAGGUCGUCAAGACAAUCUCAAUGAAUUCAGAUCAAUGAGGGACCGUAUGCAUCCACCUCGUAUGAGUGCACCAUCAUGUAUAGUGCCCCCUACAGAGCAGCUAGUGAUCAGACCGUAUCUCGUUCCACUUCUACCAACUUUCCAUGGGAUGGAAAGUGAGAAUCCGUAUGCAUACAUCAAGGAAUUUGAAGAUGUUUGUAAUACAUUCCAAGAGGGAGGAGCUUCAAUUGAUUUGAUGAGGCUUAAGUUAUUUUCUUUUACUUUAAAGGAUAAAGCCAAAAUUUGGCUUAAUUCUUUAAGGCCAAGGAGUAUCCGUUCUUGGACUGACUUACAAGCUGAAUUCCUCAAGAAAUUUUUUCCCACUCAUAGAACAAAUGGCUUGAAAAGGCAAAUUUCAAACUUCUCAGCUAAAGAGAAUGAGAAAUUCUAUGAGUGUUGGGAAAGAUACAUGGAAGCUAUAAAUGCUUGUCUUCACCAUGGCUUUGAUACUUGGCUAUUGGUGAGUUAUUUUUAUGAUGGUAUGUCCUCCUCAAUGAAGCAACUCCUCGAGACAAUGUGUGGAGGAGAUUUCAUGAGUAAAAAUCCAGAGGAAGCUAUGGAUUUCUUGAGCUAUGUAGCUGAUGUUUCAAGGGGAUGGGAUGAACCAACCAAAGGAGAAGUGGGGAAGAUGAAGUCUCAACUGAGUGCUUUCAAUGCAAAGGCUGGGAUGUAUACCUUGAAAGAAGAUGAUGAUAUGAAAGCAAAAUUGGCAGCUAUGACAAGAAGAUUGGAGGAGCUGGAGCUGAAAAGAAUACAUGAAGUGCAAGCUGUUGCUGAAGCACCAGUGCAAGUGAAGCUGUGUCCCAAUUGUCAAUCAUAUGAACAUUUGGUGGAGGAAUGCCCUACAAUUUCAGCUGAAAGGGAGAUGUUUAAAGAUCAAGCAAAUGUUGUUGGACAAUUCAGGCCCAAUAACAAUGCGCCUUAUGGAUAUACCUACAACUCAAGUUGGAGGAAUCAUCCAAAUUUCUCAUGGAAGGCCAGAGCAACUCAAUACCAACAGCCGGAUCCACCACCUCAACAAACUUCAAGUCUUGAUCAAGCAAUGGCUAAUCUCAGCAAGGUAGUGGGAGAUUUUGUUGGAAAGCAAGAAGCCACCAAUGCUCAAAUCUAUCAAAGAAUUGAUAGAGUAGAGAGUAUGUUGAAUAAUAUGAUGGAUGGAAUGCAAAAUGAUAUGAACCAAAAGUUUGAUAACAUCCAAUAUUCAAUUUCAAGGCUUACAAAUUUGAAUACACUGCAAGAAAAGGGAAGAUUUCCUUCUCAACCCCACCAAAACCCCAAAGGUGUCCAUGAAGUGGAAAGCUAAGAGGGAGAAUCAUCACAGAUGAAAGAUGUCAAAGCCUUGAUCACUCUAAGGAGUGGUAAAAAAAUUGAGCAGCCAACACCCAAGCCACAUGUUGAGAAAGAAGAAGAAAUAAAGAAAGGGAAGGAAAUGAAAGAUAAAGACAGUGAGGUCAGUGAAGAAAAGAAGGACUCUGAUUCAACAAUGAAUGCAAUUCCAGAGAAGGAACUUAUGAAGGAAGAAAUGCUGAAGAAAUCAACUUCUCCACCUUUUCCUCAAGCAUUACAUGGGAAAAAGGGGGUUAGAAAUGCAGCUGAAAUCCUUGAAGUAUUGAGACAAGUGAAAGUCAAUAUUCCACUGCUGGAUAUGAUUAAACAAGUUCCAACGUAUGCAAAAUUCCUAAAGGAUUUAUGUACUAUCAAAAGAGGGUUGACUGUAAACAAGAAAGCCUUAUUGACUGAGCAAGUAAGUGCAAUCUUACAAUGUAAGUCUCCAUUGAAGUACAAAGACCCGGGAAGUCCUACCAUUUUAGUCAUGAUUGGAGGAAAGAUAGUGGAAAAAGCCUUGUUAGAUUUGGGAGCAAGUGUGAAUUUGCUUCCAUAUUCCGUCUAUAAGCAAUUGGGACUUGGUGAGUUGAAGCUAAUAGCAAUCACUCUAUCUCUAGCAGAUAGAUCAGUAAAAAUUCCAAGGGGGGUAAUUGAGGAUGUCUUGGUUCAAGUGGAUAAUUUCUACUAUCCAGUAGAUUUUAUUGUUCUUGAUACAGAUCCUACUGUAAAGGAAGCUAAUUUAGUUCCUAUCAUCCUUGGAAGGCCAUUUCUUGCUACCUCAAAUGCAAUCAUCAACUGCAGGAAUGGGCUGAUGCAACUCACUUUUGGCAACAUGACACUGGAUCUCAAUAUUUUCUAUAUGUCUAAAAAGCAAAUCACUCCGGAAGAAGAAGAGGGUCCAGAAGAGCUGUGCAUUAUUGAUACUUUGGUGGAGGAGCACUGUAAUCAAAAUAUGCAAGACAAGUUGAAUGAAAGUCUUGUGAAUUUUGAGGAAGGUUUGUCUGAAUCUCCUACUGUGCUUGCUACUCUACAAAGUUGGAGAAAGAUAGAAGAGAUUCUACCUUUGUUCAAUGAAGAAGAAGAGGCAGCUGCUGAAAAAGAAAUUCCAAAAUUCAAUCUGAAGCCUCUACCUGUGGAGCUGAAAUAUACAUAUCUUGAAGAAAAUAAUCAAUGUCCUGUUGUAAUAUCUUCAUCUCUGACCAGUCAUCAGAAGAAUUGUUUAAUGGAAGUUCUCAAGAGGUGUAAGAGGGCAAUAGGAUGGCAAAUAUCCGACUUGAAAGGCAUUAGUCCUUUAGUUUGUACUCAUCAUAUAUAUAUGGAGGAGGAAGCAAAGCCAAUUCGUCAACUUCAAAGAAGGUUGAAUCCUCAUCUACAAGAGGUGGUGCGAGCUAAGGUGCUGAAGCUACUUCAGGCAGGAAUCAUUUACCCUAUAUCUGAUAGCCCUUGGGUGAGUCCUACUCAAGUGGUACCAAAGAAGUCAGGGAUCACAGUGGUUCCGAAUGAAAAAGGAGAAGAAGUUACUACACGCCUCACUUCAGGUUGGAGGGUGUGUAUUGAUUAUAGAAAGUUGAAUGCUGUAACCAGGAAGGAUCAUUUUCCAUUGCCAUUUAUUGACCAAGUGCUGGAGAGAGUCUCUGGACAUCCAUUCUAUUGUUUCUUGGAUGGGUAUUCAGGGUAUUUUCAGAUUGAAAUUGAUGUGGCAGAUCAGGAAAAGACCACUUUUACAUGUCCAUUUGGAACAUAUGCUUACAGGAGAAUGCCUUUUGGUUUAUGCAAUGCACCUGCUACAUUUCAAAGAUGUAUGUUGAGUAUUUUCAGUGAUAUGGUGGAACGAAUUAUGGAGGUUUUCAUGGAUGACAUCACUGUAUAUGGAGGUACAUUUGAGGAAUGCUUAGUUAAUUUGGAAGCAGUUCUUCACAGAUGCAUUGAAAAAGAUCUGGUGCUCAACUGGGAGAAAUGUCAUUUUAUGGUACGUCAAGGAAUUGUCCUUGGUCAUAUCAUCUCUAAAAGAGGCAUUGAAGUUGAUAAAGCAAAGGUGGAGCUUAUUGUCAAAUUACCAUCCCCAACAACUGUAAAAGGAGUAAGGCAGUUCCUUGGCCAUGCAGGGUUCUAUAGGAGAUUUAUAAAAAGGUUUUUCAAGUCUUUCAAAACCUCUUUGUGAGCUGUUAGCUAAGGAUGCUAAAUUUAUAUGGGAUGAAAGGUGUCAGAAUAGCUUUGAUCAACUGAAGAAAUUUUUAACAGCAACUCCAAUAGUGAGAGCCCCUAACUGGCAAUUACCUUUUGAACUGAUGUGUGAUGCCAGUGACUUUGCUAUAGGAGCUGUGCUUGGCCAAAGGGAAGAUGGGAAGCCCUAUGUGAUUUACUAUGCAAGUAAAACACUGAAUGAAGCUCAAAGGAACUACACAACUACAGAGAAAGAAUUGUUAGCUGUGGUAUUUGCUUUGGACAAAUUUCGUGCUUAUUUAGUGGGGUCUUUCAUCAUUGUCUUUACUGACCAUUCAGCCUUGAAGUAUUUAUUGACAAAGCAAGAUGCAAAAGCAAGGUUGAUUAGAUGGAUUCUUUUGUUACAAGAAUUCGAUCUUCAAAUCAAAGAUAAGAAAGGAGUGGAGAAUGUGGUAGCUGACCACCUUUCCAGGUUAGUUAUAGCACAUAAUUCCCAUCCCUUGCCUAUUAAUGAUGAUUUUCCUGAAGAAUCACUCAUGUUCUUAGUGAAAACUCCUUGGUAUGCUCAUAUUGCUAAUUAUUUAGUAACUGGUGAAAUUCCAAGUGAGUGGAAUGCACAGGACCGGAAGCACUUCUUUGCCAAAAUUCAUGCUNNNNNNNNNNNNNNNNNNNNNNNNNNNNNNNNNNNNNNNNNNNNNNNNNNNNNNNNNNNNNNNNNNNNNNNNNNNNNNNNNNNNNNNNNNNNNNNNNNNNCCCUAACUGGCAAUUACUUUUGAACUGAUGUGUGAUGCCAGUGACUUUGCUAUAGGAGCUGUGCUUGGCCAAAGGGAAGAUGGGAAGCCCUAUGUGAUUUACUAUGCAAGUAAAACACUGAAUGAAGCUCAAAGGAACUACACAACUACAGAGAAAGAAUUGUUAGCUGUGGUAUUUGCUUUGGACAAAUUUCGUGCUUAUUUAGUGGGGUCUUUCAUCAUUGUCUUUACUGACCAUUCAGCCUUGAAGUAUUUAUUGACAAAGCAAGAUGCAAAAGCAAGGUUGAUUAGAUGGAUUCUUUUGUUACAAGAAUUCGAUCUUCAAAUCAAAGAUAAGAAAGGAGUGGAGAAUGUGGUAGCUGACCACCUUUCCAGGUUAGUUAUAGCACAUAAUUCCCAUCCCUUGCCUAUUAAUGAUGAUUUUCCUGAAGAAUCACUCAUGUUCUUAGUGAAAACUCCUUGGUAUGCUCAUAUUGCUAAUUAUUUAGUAACUGGUGAAAUUCCAAGUGAGUGGAAUGCACAGGACCGGAAGCACUUCUUUGCCAAAAUUCAUGCUUAUUAUUGGGAAGAGCCCUUUCUUUUUAAGUAUUGUGCAGAUCAGAUCAUAAGGAAGUGUGUUCCUGAAGAUGAGCAGCAAGGGAUUCUAUCUCAUUGUCAUGAGAAUGCAUGUGGAGGCCACUUUGCCUCUCAGAAAACAGCUAUGAAGGUGUUGCAAUCAGGGUUUACUUGGCCAUCUCUUUUCAAAGAUGCCCACAUCAUGUGUAGAAGUUGUGACAGAUGCCAAAGGCUUGGAAAGCUAACAAAAAGAAAUCAAAUGCCUAUGAACCCCAUUCUAAUAGUUGAGCUAUUUGAUGUAUGGGGCAUUGACUUCAUGGGACCUUUCCCAAUGUCUUUUGGUAAUUCUUACAUCUUGGUGGGGGUGGAUUAUGUUUCUAAAUGGGUUGAGGCAAUCCCCUAUAAACAAAAUGAUCACAGGGUGGUUCUCAAGUUUCUUAAAGAGAACAUUUUCUCAAGAUUUGGGGUGCCCAAAGCCAUAAUCAGUGAUGGAGGUGCUCAUUUUUGCAACAAACCUUUUGAAGCUCUGUUAUCCAAGUAUGGAGUGAAGCAUAAGGUGGCUACACCUUAUCAUCCUCAGACUUCCGGGCAAGUUGAGCUAGCUAACAGGGAAAUAAAGAACAUAUUGAUGAAAGUGGUGAAUUCCAGUAGAAAAGAUUGGUCUAUUAGGCUUCAUGAUUCAUUGUGGGCAUAUAGAAUAGCUUAUAAGACUAUUCUUGGGAUGUCUCCUUAUCUUCUUGUCUAUGGCAAAGCAUGCCAUCUCCCUGUGGAAGUUGAAUACAAGGCUUGGUGGGCAAUAAAGAAGUUAAACAUGGAUUUGGUCAGAGCCGGAGAAAAGAGAUAUCUAGACCUUAAUGAGAUGGAGGAAUUAAGAAAUAAUGCUUAUAUCAAUUCCAAAGUUGCAAAACAGAGGAUGAAGAAGUGGCAUGAUCAACUCAUCUCCAACAAGGAAUUUCAGGAAGGGCAAAGAGUUUUACUGUAUGACACAAGACUCCAUAUCUUUCCUGGGAAGCUCAAGUCAAGGUGGAUAGACCCGUUCAUUAUUCACCGAGUAUAUUCCAAUGGAGUGGUGGAAUUAUUGAAUUCAAAUGGCAAGGAUAGCUUUAGAGUCAAUGGAUAUCGUCUCAAGCCAUUCAUGGAUCCAUUCAAACCAGAAAAGGAGGAAAUCAACCUCCUUGAGCCUCGAAAAGCCUAAGCAAAGAAGGGUUUGCUGGACGUGGUUUACCACAGUCCAAAAUUUUUGUAAAUUUUGUAAAUUUUCAAGUUUUUUUUCCAUACAUUUGAUCUUAGUUUUUGAUCUUAAAUCAUGUUUUUAGGUGUGUUUUAAUCUUUUUGAAUGAUCCCAGGUGGAAGAAAUUGCAAGGAAAUUGAAAGGAAAAGAAUCGGAUAAAAAACAGAGCAAAAACAGAGCAAAAAACAGAGCUCUGCGAGAUUUCGCAGCCUCUGCGAAAUCAGCACUAUGCUGCAAAACCAUUCCGCAACACUUUGGAGUUCUCUGCGAGAAUUUUCGCAGCUGCGAAGGCGAUUUUGGCACACGAGUGCCACUUUGCAGCACAGGAGCCCUCAUUUGGCAGCUGCGAAACGCAUUGCGAAGUGGUAAAGCCUGAUUUCGCACCAAAAGUCCCAUUCCGCAGGGUAUUUUGCAAUUGCGAAAGCGAUUUUGGCACACGUGUGCCACUUCGCAGCACAGUAACAUUAAUUUCGCAGCUGCGAAAUGCAUUGCGAAGUUGCUGCGAAAAUGACAUUUUGCUGCGAAAUUGGCAUUUUGCUGCGAAACUCAAACUGACCCUUAGUCUUCCCUUAUUCCUAUUUAUACCGGUCAUUUGAGUUGCGAAAAGGGUUUCAAAAUCAGAGCGCGCCAUUCUCGCAGACCGUCCAUCUCCUUCUUCAAGCCUCACCGCGCAAGCCUCCGGUCAUCUUCUCCGACCAUCCGUUCCGGCCAAACUUCGGUAAUCCGAAAUGGCGCGAACAAGAGGGGCUAAGUCUCCAUCUCCUUCGAGCCGCAAGAGAAGCUUGCGAAAGGAACCAGUUCCAGAUCCUAUCCCUGACCCUCCGCAGCCGAAAGCAAUUCCUCCUCCGGUGAAGCCCGCGCUGCCAAAGCCUCCGGUAAAGCCCGCGCCGCCAAAACCUCCGGCAAAACGAUACCUAACCAGGUCAGGGGGUCGGCCACUGCAAAAGAAACCCAGGGUGGAGAGCUUAGAACCCAUCGAUUUGACUGAGCAAUCUCCAGAGCCCUCGCCGGCUCCAACUCCAGUUCCCUCGCCAAUUCAGCCUCCGGUGCCAUCUCCGACGCCGCAAGCAAAAUCUCAGGAGACUCAAGCGCCACUUCCCGAGCCCCAAAUUCCAUCUGAAAUAGCUCCGGAAGAAGUAAUCAGGAGGCCGAUGCUGACCCAGCUCCCAAUUGAGGGAAAUUUGGAUUGUAGAACUCGGCCAUUCCACUCCGAGCUAGGCUUUGACAUAUCUACAUUCCAAUUGCAGCCGGAGCUUGCACAGUCAUUCAACCUUCUAAGAAGGUACCAUAUGGAGCAUCUGCUGACUCCGAGAGACUUUUUCUACCCAAGGGUGGCCAUGGAUUUCUAUCAAUCCAUGACAACCAACCAGGUCAGGGAUCCAACUUUAAUUCAUUUCACUAUUGAUGGGAGGCAUGGCAUAUUGGGAGCACGCCAUAUAGCUGAAGCCUUGCAAAUUCCCUAUGAGCCGACCCAAUUCGAUAAUUUUAGAGCUUGGACCAAUCCUACUGAGCUGGAGAUGGUGCGCACCCUAUCCAGAGGAGCUGCCAAUCGAUCAUAUCUGUUGAGGGGGGAGCUUCCUCCAAUCAUGUUUUUGAUUGAUGCAUUUUUGCGUCAUAACCUCUACCCAUUGCAGCAUUGGACUCAAAGAAGAGGAGUCCUCUUAGAAGCCCUGUACAAGAUGUCUGAAGGAUUUUUCUUUGGGCCUCAUCAUCUGAUUCUGGCAGCCCUUCUCUAUUUCGAAGAGAAGGUACACAAAAAGAAGCUUCAGAGAGCUGAUUGCAUUCCCCUCCUCAUUCCAAGGCUGCUAUGCCAAAUUCUGGAGCACUUGGGGUAUCCUUCUGAACCUCAAUUGGAGCGCAAACGCAUUUGCCGUGAGCUUUUCACUCUUAACAAAUGGAACAACAUGACAGCUUAUCGAGUUGACCAGCCUGAGCGCCCACAGCCAGCUGUAAGGAGAGCAUCCCCACGACACAUACCUGAGGGUAUAACAGUUGCUGCUCCUGCCAUUUGCAGAGCUCCACCAGCUGCUCCAGCUUCAUCUCAGCCAUCCACUUCAGCUGAGCCGAGGAUGGCCAUACCCAUUUCUGAAUAUCGAGAGUUGUGCCGUGCAUUGCAGACCCUCACAGCUUCUCAGAGCAGUCUUGCUCAAGAGAUGGCAGCCAUUAGAGCAUGCCAAGAGCAGAUGUUGGCCACUCAGGCUCAACAAGCUGCCAUCUUAAGGCAGCUCCAGCUUCAUUUCAACCUGCCACCAGCUGUUGAGCCCUCCACUUCUACUCCAGCAGAGCCACACUCUCAUCCCUCAGAGCCUCAAGCCCCAGCUGAAGCACCAACUGAAGAGGCAGAUCCAUCUGCCUAGCCCCAGCACCACCCACUCAUCAGAUCAUUAUAUAUAUAUCUACUAUCUUUGUUUUAUGUAUUUCGUUUUUUAGUUUGAAAGAAAUCCCAUUAUUUUGGUAUUAUAUUUGGGAUUGCUUGUAUUACUUUUCUUUUGCAUUGUACUUAAAUGGAUUCAAAGUAAUACAAGUUUAAUAUUUCUUGUUAACAGUUAGCAUUAAGUUAUCCUUAUUUCCUUUUCUCACAUAUUCUAUUCUUUUUGAAACAUGUGGUUUCUCCAAUUAGUAUGCGAAUUUGAUAUCACACAGGAGGUACCACUUCCUCCCUUUAAUUACAGUCACUCAUAUCACAUUGAGGACAAUGCUCAGUUCGGUUGGGGGGAAUGAGGAAGGAAGUUAUGCUAAAUUAAAGGAAGUAUGCUAAGCCUUUUUAGUAAUGCAAUUAUUUUGGUAAAUUAGUUGUAGUUUUUGUUUUUUACUCUUUUUACUCUAUUCUCCAUGAAUCUUGAGGAAAAAUUUUCAAAUUAAAACAGGAAAAAUUGAACUGUUGUUUUUCACUUGACUUAGAGUAUGGAUUAUGCUCACUAAAGUGGUUCAAUUGUUGAAGCUUCUAUUGAAAUUGAAUUUAGUUCUUCCACUUUAAGCUAUUCACACACUGUGCACAUUAGAUUCCGAUUAUAAGAUGAAAAACUAUUUCCCUCUUGACUUAGGAUAAUUUUGGGACUUGGUAUAUUUGACCUCAUUUGAUAAAAAUUGAAACACCCUGCAAAAGGCCAAUGAGCCUUUGAAAUAAAGAAAGUUGUUUGCUUGCCUUAAAACCCGAGCAAGGUCUGAGAGGUAUAUGGUGAAAAUCUUUGAAGCCUGGUGCCCUAAGCCUUAAUUGGUUGGGAGUCACCGACCUCAAUGCUCGUUACAAGGGUGAAUAGGUAGAGUAGCAUAUGGUAGGUGCUUGGGUAUUAAAAAUUCAUUCUCAAAAGUCCGGGGAAAAAUCCGAGGAGUUAGUGGUUGAAAGAUCCUUAAAGCUUGGUGCCCUAAACCUUAAUUGGUUGGGAGUCAUCGAUGGACCCCCAUUACAUGGACAAUACAGAAAGAGUACCCCAUAAGUUCUUUGUUAAAAAAAAAAAAAAAAAAAAAAAAGUGUGUUCUUUCUUUAUUGAUUUUGGUCAGUUUGCUAAGUGUUGAAAAGAGAUAGGUUGGGGGGAGAGAUUAGUUUAGCAUAUUAUUCUCGGAAGCUAAGGAACCAAUACACAUAGAUUUUUGAGGAAGAAUAAAGUUUGGUUCUUUGAAAGUGGAAAUGAUUUUAAAACUUCAGUUUGCAUAAUGCAUUCCCUUGUUUGACAGUGUUUAGCAUAGUUUGUUAUAACUCUUGUUGAAAUUUGCUUUUAUAUUUCUUUAAGGUUUCAUGAGAGAAUUAGAUCAUCAUGCCACUUGAGAAUUGUUUUUGAUCAGCAUGAUGUUGUAAAUUAUAGUUUAAUUUGUUGUUUAUUUUCAUUUUUCUCUCCUAUAUUGCUAAGGGACUAGCAAUAUGUCGGUUGGGGGGAGUGAUUACUACUCAAAAAGUGCUAUUUGAUAGCUUAUAAUUAAUCCUUUUAAACACUUUUGAGUAGUAGUUUUGGCCUUUUAACUCAAUUGGCAUGUUAAGGACCCUUGAAAACAAUUUUAAUCACUUUGUGUAAGUUUUGGUGUUUUUGUUAGUAUUUUGAUCACCAAAGCAAUUCAAGAUUGAGGAGAAUUUUGAGGAAUCUUGGGCAAAGCUUGGAAGUCAUUUGCCAAGAGUAAAUCCGAAGUGCAAGGAGAAAAAGUAAAGAGAAUCUGCCAUGAAGCAUAUUCUUGAUGACAGUCGUGGCAGCCACUUUUGGAGCACUUUCUGAAGUCCAAUUGAUGCAUGCUAUAUACCAUUUCAAAGCUCAGGAAGUCAAUAAUCUAAUGCUUCAAACGGUGCGCAAUUUGGAGUUGAAACGAAGAAGUUGCAGCCAUUGCAAGCCAAUCACUCCAAGCUGAAGGAAGCAUUUUCCAAAGUGUUGCGAAAUCACCCUUUUGUUGCGAAGUGAUUUCGCAGCAUUUUUGUACAGUAUGAUGUAUUUCCUCCUGAAGUUGCCCGAUAUAUGCCGCAAGCUGGAAGCUGAGAGCAUCAAGGUGGAAGCCAACUUCGCAGCCCUGCGAAGAUAGCAUGUUGUUGCGAAAUGAUUUCGCAGCCCUUCUUGAGUGUCUGCGAAAUCUCACAGACACCAUUUUCUCUUGCGGAAUGGUUCCUGGAGCAUCCCGAUAUUUGCUAUCGACAUUGGGAGAUAUUUUACAUCAGAUUUUUGUUGUCUAAAUCCCAAAAUACUCCUUGUAAGCCACCAAUUACAAGAUUCCUUAGCUUUUAAGUUAGUAAAAAGAGAAAAUAUCUAUGUAAUAAUUAGUUUUAUAUUAUGUUCAUAUAAAUACCUCUCGGGAGCCUGUUCUCAGAGAGAGCCUUUUGUAAAGUUUUGGGUAAGCAAGUAAAGUUCAGUUCUUUGUAUUACCUUACCUUCUCACUUUGUAUAUUUUAUUUUCUUACUAAGUUAUGAACUCUCUGAGGAGUUUUCCCCAGAGAAUGAGUAACUAAACCUCUAAUUCCUUGGAGCUAAGGUUGCCGGGGAAGGUUCCAAGUGCAAGAAUGCAAAGCUUUGUGGUUUUAGCUAGUAAUGAAGAGGAAGUGAAAUCCUUUAGUGAUUUCUAUGUUUUUAGUUAACUUAAAACACCUUAGAGUCAUCUGGGCCAACACUUGGUAAGGCAAGUGAUUUCCAACCAUGGAAAUGCACUAGUUUACCCCUUACGAGCCUCUGGAAGGUGACUUUAGGGUAGGAUUUUCUAGAAUAGCCAACACUUGGUAAGCUUUUGGACUCCAAGGAGACAUCCAUUAGUUAUCUCUUGCGAGCUUUUGAAGGGAAGUCCAAGGUUAAAGAUCAUCUUGAAUGGUAAGUGCUCGUGAGAGGCAUGAACCAUUGCAAGUUGUAUCAAUGAGAGAAUUAAAGUUGAAAUCCAAUUAAAGGAUGUAUCUGUACAACACCGGUUAGAGAAUUGACUAUAUGUUGAAUCUCUAACGCGAAGAAAGGAACCAUCUGACCGAAGCUAUGUCUUUUGCAUGAGGAACCACCCCAGUGAACCUAACUCUCCAAGGAAUGCUUUUCUUCCUAAGUUAUUCCGAGUACUUGUUAUGUUAGUUAGUUUAAAUCUUUACCAAUCAAAGUUUGUGUUUUAUUUCUUAAGCUAACCUUGAAAUGAAACAAGACCAAUUCACUUGGAAUUGGUAUCAUUGAUAGCUUGCUAAUCCUUCCCAGUGAACGAUCCUAGAGUCGCUAUACUAUAGUAACUUUUUCUUUGCUACCCUAGUAUAUGGUGUUAUAGGUUAUAAAUUUUGUUGAUUACUCCCUCUAUCAAGAAGCACCAGCUAGACACGAAUCAGCUGAGACACCAAUUGGGCACGAAUCAACAACUAACAACCUAUUAACUACUUAACAACUCUAACUAACAUCCAACCUCAAGCACAUAGGGUGAGAAAGAACUAUGAGCUUGCUCUAGAGAUGAAGGAAAUGCUGAGUGGAGAGAGCUUUGGUUAAGAUAUCAACAGCUUGGUCUCCAAAUGGAAGAAAUCAAACAUCAAAAGUUUUCUACGGGACUCAUUCUUAAACAAAAUGAUAAUUAAUUUCCACAUGUUUAGCCCGAGAAUGAAGGACAAGAAUUACAGCCAAAUAACAUGAACUAAAACAGGGGAACAAAGGGCUCUUUAAGAAAGGAUUGAAUCUAAGUGAGUACGACCGUUGCAUUGGCCAAGCCCCUAUACUCGGACUCGGUAUAAGAGUGUGAACCACCUUUUGUUUAGAAGCUGACUAAGAGACCAGAUUACCACAAAAAAAAAACAAAAAAAAAAAACAAAACACAGUAGCCACUAGUGCUACGUCUAUCAUUAGGGCAAGAUACCCAAUCGACAUUUGUAUAAGCAACAAGAUUGAGUGAGGAAGAUGGUUGGAAAAAAAAAACCCAUAAAACAACAAACCUUUGAGAUAACAAAUAACAUGCUUCAUAUCUUGAAAAUGAGUAGAGGUUGGAGCAUGCAUAAAUUGGUAAAUCUUAUUAACAGUAUAAGGAGUGUUUGGUCUAGUGAUUUUGCAAUACUGAAGGGCACCUACAAGACUCUAAUAGAAAGUGGGAUCCUCUAAUUUGGUACCAUCAACUAUGAAUAAAACAAGACCAGUAGCCAUUAAAGAAGCAACAAGCUUUGAUUCCAACAAAUCAACAUGCUGAAGAAGAUCACAAAUGUAUCUAUCUCGGCUUAAAUGCAAAGAAAAUCCAAAAUUGAGCACCUCUAUUCUAAGAAAGAAAUUGAGAGGACCAGAUUCUUGAGAGCAAAGCAAGAGUUUAAGGAAGAUAUAAGUUGUUCAAUGAGCAAGGAAUUUGAAUUAGUGACAAUAAUAUCAUCGAUAUAAACUAAGACAACAAGCAUGAUAGAAUUGUUAUGGUAACCAAACAUUGAUGUAUCUACUUAAGAUAUGGAAAAACCCCAUUUAAAUAAUGCAGAAUUCAGUUUCGUGAACCAAGCCCAUGGAGUUUGCUUCAAGCCAUACAAGGCCUUGGUAAGCUUACAAACAAAAUUGGGCUUAGAAGGAUCCACAAAACCCGGGGGUUGUAUCUAAAAACUUGCUCAAAUAAAUCACCAUUAUGAACAUCAAGUUGUUGGAUAGACCAAUUUCUACUCAAUGCCAAAGAGAGAACCACACUAAAGGUUUAACCACAAAACUAAAGGUUUCAAAGAAAUCAAAACUGUGAGUUUGAUGGAAUCCUUUCACCACUAAAUGUGCCUUAUAACAAUCAAUAGUUCCCUUAGGUUUAAACUUCAAUUUAUAAACCCACUAACAUCCAAUGGUAUUCUGAUUAGACGGAGGAGGAACCAUGACGUAUGUUUUAUUUUUCAUAAGAGCUUCAAAUUCAAGAUGCAUAGCCUAUUGCCAUUCAGGAACUUUAGCAGUUUCCUUAAAGGAAUCUAGUUCACAAAGUGGAGGAAAAAUAGUCUUAGUAGGAGACAAAUAUAACUUGAGUUCGAAAAUGCCAUUUUUGGCACGUAUUAUCAUGAGAUGACAAGGAGUAAGAACAUAAGAGGAAAGAGGUUGGGUUGUUGGAAUUGCUGUAACCUUAGAAAAGGAAAUUGACACACUAGAAUUAGAUAUUGGAACCAACUUUGAAGGUGGACAUAAUGGGGGAGGUAAGAGGGAAGGUAUUGGAGAUGAUGGUACUACCAAGGGAAUGACACAAUGAGAGGGGGAAACAGAAUAAGAAGUUUGAACUAUGGAAGACUUAGCAAAUCGGAAAUCUAGUUCAUAAAAAAUAACAUGUCGUGAUAUAUGUAUUUUAUGAUUGGACAUGUUUAAAUAAAGAUAUCCUUUAUGCUUAGAACUAUAGCCAAUAUUUUAACGGAUUGAUAUGCAAGUUUAUGACAAUUAAAAUGAUGUAGAAAAGGAUAACAAAUGUAGCCAUAGACAUGAAGAAAAUAAUAAUUUGGUAGACAAUGGUAAAGAGUCUUAUACGGAUCGAGAAGAGAUAUUCAACAUAGAGGUAGGAAGUCUAUUAAUCAAAUAUAAGGUAGAUUGGAAAACAAAAGGUCAAUAUUUAAGUGGAAUAGAAGCACGAGCAAGCAAAGAAAGACCUAUUUCAACCACAUGUCUAUGUUUUCUCUCCACAUGACCAUUUUGUUGAAAAGUAGAUGGACAAGAUAUUCUAUGCAGAAUCCUAAAUUUACAUAAAGUAUCAAUAAAGGCUUGAAACUCCCCUCCCUAAUCAGUUUGAAGCACUCUUAACUUUAGUGUCAAAUUGAGUCUCAGUUAUCACUUUAAAUUGCAAAAAAACAGAGAUAGCUUGAUUUUUAAAAGCUAGUAGAUACAACCCCAAGAAAAUCUUGUAUGGUCAAUUGGAAAAAAGUACAAAGUAUCUUGCAUCAUUAGCACCAACAAUAACGGUAGGACCCCAUAGAUCAAAAUGUAUAAGAGCAAAAGGCUAAGAGACUCUGGAUUUAGACAAAGUAAAAGGUAAGUGAUGACUCUUUGCCAUUUGACAAGGUUCACAAAUACCUAUCCAAUGUUCUGAGGGCAUACUACAAUCACUCAAAACUUUAUUCACUAUUUUACGUGCAAGAUGGCCUAAUUAAAAUGUCAUAGAGCUACCUUAUUGGGAAGUUGUAAUGCAAAUAACAUACACGGGACCUCAAUUGCCAAGCUUGUUCUUCUAACAAUUUUAUUACCUUUAGAAUCUAUAUUUUUUUUACCAGAAACUGAAGAUGACAAUUUGUAUAAACCAUGGUUAAGGUUGCCUUGGAGAAGAGCCUUCUUUGAAGCUUGAUCCUUCAUCACAAAUCCAUUAGUAAAGAAUUCCAUAGUAACAUUAUUGUUAGUACACAACCUAUUCACACUUAUCAAAUUGGUUGUAAGUUGUGGAACAUGUAGAAUAUUCUUUAGAUUUAAAGACUGAGAAACUGACAAAAUAGUAGAGUAUCCAAUAUUUGAGAUAUUUAAGCAACUACAGUUUCCAACGACAACUUUGUCCAAACCAGCAAAUGGAGUAUGUGCAUUCAAGUUCUUGAAAUUUAAAGUUAGGUGAUAUGUAGCUCUAGUAUCCAUGUACCAACUUCCAUCUGCAAUAGUGGCCAGAGUUGCAAUCAUUGCAGCAAGAUGAGGUUACUCAAUUCUUAGGGUUCUUUUUCCUCAUUGGUUUUUGACUCGGAUGAGUUAACUUAGUUCCUAGAGCUCUUCCUCAAUGACAAACAAUUUUGAUUAGAGUGUGGCAAGGAGUUCAAUGAGCAAGCUGGUGAUUGAUCAAGGCCUCACUAGUGAUGAGGACGUCGGUGAUAGCAACAAUCUAGUUGGAGAAACGAUUUUUUCCAACACCCUCAAACACCGCAAAAAUGAUCAUAUCGUCAUCAUGAUCUUAGAUAAGAGAAACUUAAAGUUUUGUUUAUUCCAAUUUCAAAUUGAAAACAAAAUUGUAGAGCACUAGAUACAAAAUAAAAAAAAAAUAAAAGAACGAAAAAUCACUAUAGAAACCUUAGAAAACACACUAGGAAGAAAAAUCAUAGACAAACUCACAGAAGAAUUUUAUGGCUUUAGGAGUUGGAGCCGGAGUUGGAGAAGAGUCUUAAUGGACAUUGAGGAAGGACAAGAAGAGGUGUUCAACUAUAAUUUAUGUAGGCUAUAUUGUAAAGGUUGGCUUUAAAAUGUAUCUAGUAGCGACCUAAUUAGGGUUCAAAGUAUCGGCCAAGUCUGAUACGACUCGGCCGAGUCAUAUCUGUCUCGACACUUGUCGCAACGAGACCGAUACCAGAUACAAUAUAAUGCAUGAACUCGACUGGGAAUCGGUUAGACUUUGCUAAGUUUUCGAGUUAACUCGGUUGACUCGGUUAGGUUAUAAAGAAUUUUCAAAUUUUUCAUAAAAUUGAAAAUAAUAAUAAUAAUAAAUCAGAGAUUGCCCUUUCAAAAGCAAACACCUAUUUUAAAAUUUUAAACCAUCAAUGAGAAGAUCAAAGAAGACCAAGAAGAAAAAACCUAACCUGUGACUCGUUCGGAAAUAAGUGGAGAAACCACCAAAGGAUGAGGGCAUAAUUUAGGAUUUACUUACUUGAUUUUCCUCAAAAUCGAGCAUUACCGAAGGGUGGAGCUUUGGUGUCGGCGAUGGUGACUCAUCAAGUGGAUUGAAUCUUUCACCGGGGACAUCAACAAGACAACCCCCUCAUAGUCAGAUUGCUCCCCCUCCCGUGUUAGGUCUUGCACGGUUGCAAAUUUGCGAUUGUAGGUGGUAUCGUCUAUUUUGGGUCUUGACAGUAAUGAUGACGUGCGAGGGUGGGAGAUUGGGAGCUUAAAUUAGUAAAGUAAAAAAUUGCAUUUUAUAUGGAUUUACAUGGAGAAUUGAGUCCCUGAUUUACAUGGAAAAUACCUUUCAUAUACACACUUUAAUAUGAUUUAAUAGUAACAUAUUAGGAGAAUUGAGUACCCGAUUUGCUAAAGUAAAAUGAUAUGAAAGGUAUAGAUGAAGUUUAAUGAUAAAUUAAAGUGUUUAUAUAGCAAAGUGAAAAUUAAAUCCUCAAUUUUUAAUAUUAUCACAAAAUAACUUUGAGCUAAAUGUGAAAAAAAAAUGGUUUUAUUAAAAUUUUCACCUUAUUUAAUUAUAUCUAUUUUAUUUUUUGAUUUAUAUAAUAUUUUUAUAAUUUUUUGAAAAUUUUAAUUAUCUUAUUUUACGUAUCGUCCAAUACCGAACCGAAACACUGAAACCAAUAUGCCUCGUGAUCCUCCGAGUCAAUGAUCGAUACCACGACUUUGAACCAUGGACCCAAUGGAAGUGGAGUCUAUAGGAACAUCUAUGGUAACGAUCCAAAAAUUAUUGCAGGCAUAAGAGAAUAUAUAAUAGCACUUUCAACAGUAAUCAUGACUAUGUAUCUUUCCUGGAAAUUUCCCACCAAUCCCAAUCCCAACCCCUUUAGAUGCAUGUGGUUGGAAUAUGCAUGAAGCUAUAUAUUACGUGGUUGGGAUAUGAAUGAGGCUAUAUACUAUUUUUAGUUGUGGAUUUUCUUAGCCCCUACUAAAACUAUGUCGCCAUUUCCUAUUCUUCUUGUAAUGUCAAGUUGGAAAGUUAAAUUUAAUUUAAAAACUUUCUAAAUAUUAAAUUUAGAGUUAGUUUCUAAAUGUUAAGGAGAACAUUUUAUUUUGAAUGAUUAUUUAGUUUUUGUAUUUGAGUAUUCAAGUCCUGAAAGGUCUCUAUAUUUCAUUAUUAAGAUUUUCUAUUUAGACAAAUGUGAGUAUAUUUAUAAACAAAAAAUUAUAUAAUAUAUACAUUUUUUAUAAAAAAAAAAAGCAAUAAAAUACAAUAAAAUUUUAAUUCUCUCCUAUUUUUAUCUUUUUUAUAAGUGUGUGUUUAUCUUUCAUCUAGAUAACUCACACAAUACUAACACAAUGAGAGUAAAAGGAGAAGGGCAAUAAAGAGUUGGGGCCGGAGAUCAUUGGAGGAACGGGUCAACUGUAGGCCGGUUGUCAAUGGGCUCAUAUAAGUAACAAAAAUUGGAAAUGGUUUCUAUAUCUUAGUGUCGUGUCUAGAAGACGACAAUCUACCUGUCAGUGUGCAGCAGAAGAGAAAGCGUGAUAUCUACUUAGAGUCAAAACAAAGGGAACCAGCUCGCAAUUCCUCCGAUACAUCAUUACCGACGUCAUAGCUCUAUUCCCCCAAUUCGUCACUACCAACGUCAUUCUAUCUCCAUUACGCAUUAUUUAAAGAGUCCCCAUGCAGAAGCUGUUCGAAACACAAGUCAGCUUUGACACAACCCCACUUCAUUGUGAUAACCUAUCCGGCACAGGUCCCUGUCCAAAGACCCAUCUUACUCUUUACAUUGUGGCCACUGAUUUGGUAUCUAAUCUCAGGCAAAAUUCACUGGUUUGAUGAAGGUUAUAGAACAAAACUUGUGUUAUUCUUAUCUUUGGUUUUGAUGAACUUUAAAGCAUUUAAAAAGAUUCAACUGGUAAGAAGUAUUUUUGCCUUGGGAAGAUGUUGGUUAUGGAUUAAAAGCAAAAAAGACCCUUGUACAUAUUUUUGGGUACCUGUCAAGCAAAUUAAUGCACAUCCGAACAUCACAACUGUUGUCUCUUAAAUUCUUCCAAUUGACCUGCUUUCGUCUUAUUGAGCGUCUGGGUUACUUGAUAAUGCAAAAACUCAUACAGUUAUUUCGAUAAAUUAAGAGCCUCGGGCAUCAAGGAAAAUCUAUUAUUACUUAAUCGAUAAAUUAAUAAUUUAUUAAUUUAAUUGCUUAUUAAUGAGAUCUCUUGAAUAAUUCUAUUAUGGAACAAGACACCAUAACAAUAUUAAAUAAAUUUUUGUCAUAGUAUGAGAAUACCACACUAGAUGUAAUAUGAGAAUGUCAUAUUUAAUUAGGGCCUUGGCUUAAAAUAAGUAAAUAAAUAAUUAAUAAUUAAAAUAUAAAUACUAGACUCACAUUUUAAACAAACACUUCUAAACUCUCAGACUCUACAAAGAACAUACACAAAGAAAUCUAGGUUCCAGAUUUGAGUGAAGAGAAAGAGAAUUUGAUUUUUUUUGUUCUUUUGUGAAAAUUUCAUGGUAAGUGAUACUUCUUAAAGUUUUCUUUUUUUUUUUUUAUAGUUUUUCUUCUUAGAAACUUUAAUUUCCUAAUAAGAUUAAAAAAGAAUUAAUGAAAACAAGAAAUUAAGAAAAUAAAUUGAAAGUAGUUAAAUCUAGAAUGAUAGAAUAAUAAUAAUAAUAAUAAUAAAAACAAUAGAAAGUUUGAUGUGUUAUUGCCGAAACCUAGAGGAAAAUUCUAUAUGAAAUAGUGGAGUUUAUGUUUUUUUUUUAAUAUAUAUAUAUAUAUAUAUAUAGGAUUUUUGGGAGAAAUAGGUAUCCAUGUAAAUAGAAAUUCUUAUGUGUAGGAGAUAAUAAUUGUAUUAAAAAAAAAUUAAUAGACUAAAACCUGGAGAUUGGUAUUCAUACAGUAAGAUUCCAAGUAUAUAGAAAGUAGAAUUACAUGGAACCUAAAAUUUGGUGCACAAUGUGAUUCUUUAUUUAAAACAAAUAGAAUUUAGUGCAUAGUAGGAUUCCUUGUUCAAAUGAAAUAGAAUUUGUUGGGAGAUACAUGGACUAAUAUUAAUUGUGAAGUUAAGAUGUAUUGUGUAUUGGUGUGAUACUGGAAGUGCAUGAGACAAACUUUUGGAGUGUUGGUAUAGGAAAUAAAGUUUUUUUAAAAAAAACUAAUCUAAUAUAAAAAUAUUGGAGGCCUCGAAUUUUAUUAUGUUAGGAUUCCAUAAUGAAUUAAAUUAAAUCAAAUUAAAUUAAUGUAAUUUAGAUUAGAUUAAUUAUAAGUGAGGGAAUUGAAAAGUUCAAGACAAUAAUUUCAAGACAAUUAAGAAAUGGAAAUUUGAUGUUUUUCCUAGAUAAAUGAAUAAUUUAUAUAUGUGUUACAAAACUAUACAUAUUUAGAAUAUAAUUAUUAUUAGAACAUUUGUUUAAAGAACCCUUAGAAUUUCUCAGGUAAUUCUUAGGAAAUUCUACUGCUUUAAUAUUUGGAGUUUGAGUCCAAUUAAGGGGACUAACUAAAUUUUUUUUUUUAUUUUAUAAAUAGUCAAAUAUAAUUUUCUUUUGAAAGUUUUAAGAAAUUGGAAAAUAAUUUUGUUAUAUUGUAUAUGUUUGCUUACACGUGUGAUAUGAAUUUUUUUGUUUAAAAGAAAAAAAAAAUUAGGACUAGUAAUCUAAUCCUUGUUAAUAAAGGAAAGUGUUUUGACUUUCAUUACCUUUGGUGAAGGUAAUGAUAAUUUGUAAACCCAAUCAUUAGAUUUGUCCUGGCUCCGCCCACCAUCAUGUAAGGAACACAUGAGGUUAGCUAUUUCUAUUAGUCUCAUUACAAUGGGCACCUCUCUAAGUCCAAAUUUUGAUGGGCAUUUUCUGUAAAAAGUUAGAAUUGUUCAUUUAAUAUGUUUGCAAAAUAAUGUUAUGCUUAAAUUAUUUUAAAAAUGACACAUGUAAUAUUAGUUGUUUUGUUGUGUUUAAAAGCAUGCUAUAAAGAUUCCUUAUUUCAUUUUUGGAAACACGCAUACUUGAUUUUCAUACCCCUCAUCGGACUUUAAACUCACUCCUUUUACUAAAAUGUUUUUAGAUAUACAUCUAAUUCUAGCAAUGAGUGAUUCGAGUAAGAGGGUUUUUCAUAGAUCCAUUUAGUUCUUAGUUUUAAGUUUAAUGUCAUAAUAACAUUUUGUUAUUAUAGUUUAAUUUAUCAUUACUAUUUUAGAUAAUAUGUUAUAUUUGAAUUAUAGAUUUCGUGCGAAAGAAUAAUUUUUUAUUAUUUCUUUGAAGAUAUAUGAUCAUUUUGAAAGUUUGCUUCUAAAAUGACCUUGGUGUUUAGCUUACGGGUCAGUAUCGUUAUACUAGACCUUCUAUUUGUAUUAUGAAACUACAUAGAUUUUUCCAUAAUAUAUUAUAUUAUAAAUUUAUCAAAUUAUUAGUUUAGCAUGAUGGCCCUAGGUUCAUAUUGAUUAAAAAAUUAUUUAAUUGAGGUUCUCUAUUAAUUAAAUAUUAAUUUAAUUGUCAGAUACUCUUAUUAUUAUUAUUUUUUAUAAAAUAUUCAAAAAUAUUCUUUGUUAUAUCUUUAACUUAAAAAUAUUUUAAAAAAAACAAGAAUAAAAAAACAUCACCAAACAAGCCCUUAUUUAUUUGUUUGUUUUUUAUGUUUUGUUUGCUAUUGUGGUUUUGUUUAGUUGUCAAGAAGUGUGAGACAGUUGAAGAAAUUGAAGUUUUUUUUUUAUAUAUAUAUUUUUUUAAUAGUAUAGGCAAAAAUUCCAAAGGUUUGAAUUGCUUCAAUUUGUUUGUUUGACUUAUGAGAAAAGGUGGGACAAAUACUUCAAUGAGUUUAUAAUCAUCAGUAGUUAACUUACUUCUCUAUCGAAAUGGUUUAAUCAUUCACACUUAAAUUAAAAGCUGGAUUAUCAAAUCCAUUUCCCUUCAUGGAAACUAGUAACUUGAUCCAUCUACUGGUCAUUUAUGGCUUGAGGUCUUGUGCCAUGCACUCUUAAGUUGAUUUCUAGCUAGAAGUCGUAGUGGUAGGGUAUUCAGGAAUCCUUGUCAUAAAAUGUUGUAAAAUUUAUUUUGUGCAAAUUGUUAAGCUACAACUCAAACCAAGGAGUUAUAUACCAUCUAGAUUGCUUGGAUGAAGAAUAUAGACCAAAUCUAUGUAUGUAUGAUAGUUGUUAAUAGGUAGCAAUAGUGGAGUUAAGCUUCAUAGGAUACUGUUUACUGAUAAAGUUUACAUCUUAUAUAGGAUGGAACGAGUUUUUGAACUUUUGUUAACAUAGAAAAACUAAUUGGGUUAGAAUUCUGGCAUAGGUUUUUGCUAUGGUGAAUCAAACAUUCGGGGGACAUCUACCUAUGACACUCCCAAGACAACUAAUUAGUUCUUCACUAGAAUGAGAUGAUCGAUCUCUAUUUGAGCAAUUGGUUAGAUUAAUCCGAUAACUUUUUUUUUAAUUCUCCCAAUAAGAAAACCUUUCUUAAUUAUUCCAACAUGAGAAAUUUUUUUUCUACCUAUGGUUUUUUCAAUGACUAAAUAUAUUUAUUCCUUAGUAUCUAGUACUUUAAGAAAAACAAAAGUUAAAUUGAUUUUAUCAAAAUCUAAAACUUAAUUAAGUCAGAUAAUUAAAAUAUAAUUAAUUGAAAGUUAUCUUAAGCACAUUAAAUUUUACCUCUUACCACCUAAAAUGAUUUCAAAUUUUAUAGUUGUGAUAGAUCCAAGUUGUCCGAAAAGGUCUAUAGAAUAUGCAUUCUUUUACUUAUAAACAAUGUCUUAAAUAGUCGAGGUAGAGUUAUAUAGGGUCAUGGAUUUCUUAUUUUAUUCGAUGUGGGAAAUCAUAAUACACACUUAUCUCCUGUGAAGAGGGACCGUAACCAGGUUGGCUCAUAUAAAAUAACUAAAUUGGAAAUUGGUCUCUAGAUCUUAACUUUGGGUCGCGUCUAGAGGACGACAAACUACCGGUCAGUGUACAGCAGAAGAGAAAGUGAGACAGGAUACUUAUACAUCUCUUGAAAUUAAUUAGUCUUUGAGUCAAAACAAAGAGGAAGCAGCUCACAAUUCCUCCAAAACAUCAUUGCAAACGUCAUAGCUCUGUUUCCCCAAAUUCGUCAUUACAAACGUCAUUCCAUACUCUGCCUUCCUUAUUUAAAGAGUCCCAUGCAGAUGCAGAUGCAGUUCGAUACACAAGUCAGAUUUGAUCAUCCUCUACAUAGACCCAACCGAAGUAUCUCCACUUCAUCUUCUUCCCCUACAAUGACACAACCCCACUUCAUUGUGAUAACCUAUCCCGCACAAGGCCACAUCAACCCUUCUCUCCAACUGGCUAAGCGCCUCAUACGUGCUGGUGCCCAUGUCACAUUCGUCACUAGCACCUAUGCCAGUGAGCGCAUGACCAAAACCCCCACCAUGGAUGGUUUAAAAUUUGUCACAUUCCCGGACGGCUGCGACAGUGGCCUCAAGCAAAGCGAUGCCCUCCAAGGCUUCAUGUCUGAGCUUGAGCGUCUUGGCUCCCAAGCUCUUACCGACCUCCUCAUAGCCAGCGCUAAUGAAGGUCGUCCCGUUACUUGCAUAAUCUACGGCAUCCUGAUUCCUUGGGUAGCAGAGGUGGCGCAUAGUCUUCACAUCCCCUCCGCACUUUUUUGGAGUCAACCUGUCUCUGUUUUUAAUAUCUAUUAUUAUUAUUUUUGUGGCUAUGGAGAGGUCAUUCGCAAGAAAGUCAGUGACUCCUCGCCUUCCAUUGAAUUACCAGGACUGCCCUUGCUCGGUAGCCGUGACAUUCCCUGUUUCCUACUCCCCUCAAAUGCAAAUGAAUACAACUUUGUCCUUUCAGCGUUUCAGAAGCACGUAGAGAUGCUCCACCGUGACACCAACCCAACGGUACUGAUAAACACUUUCGAUGCAUUGGAACCAGAGGCCCUAAGGGCCGUCAGUAAGUUUAAGUCGAUUGGAGUUGGACCCUUGUUUCCAACCGCUUUCUUGGGUGGAAAAGAUCCAUCCGAUACUUCAUUUGGAGGUGAUCUGUUCCGUCGUUCAAAGGAUUAUAUUGAAUGGCUGAACUCAAAGCCUGAAUCUUCUGUCAUUUAUGUGUCAUUUGGAAGCCUCGCGGUGUUAUCGAAGCAACAGUCAGAGGAGAUUGCUCGUGGAUUGCUGGACAGUGGCCGGCCUUUCCUGUGGGUCAUAAGAGCCAAGGAGAAGGGAGAAGAGGAGAAAGAAGAAGAUAAACUAAGUUGCUACGCAGAAUUAGAACAACAAGGUAUGAUAGUACCAUGGUGUUCUCAGGUUGAGGUUCUCUCAAAUCCAUCACUGGGUUGUUUCGUGACUCAUUGUGGGUGGAAUUCAACCUUGGAGAGCUUGGCUUCUGGGGUGCCAGUUGUGGCAUUUCCUCAGUGGACCGACCAAUCCACGAAUGCAAAGCUAGCCGAAGACGUGUGGAAAACGGGUGUACGGGUGACCGUGAACCAAGAAGGAAUAGUUGAAAGCGAUGAGAUUAAGAGGUGCUUGGAAUUGGUCAUGGGAGAUGGAGAGGAGGCGAAAGAAAUGAGAAGGAAUGCAAAGAAAUGGAAGGGUUUGGCAAGGGAGGCUGUGAUGGAAGGUGGAUCAUCUGACAAGAAUCUUAAGAAUUUUAUGGAUGAGGUCAUACAAGGUUACUAGCUAGAUAUUGUGGUUGUAUCUCUUGGAGUUUAUGUUAAGACUCCCCGAUUAAUUUAAAUAUUUUACAAGAAGAUUUUUAUUAUUUAUGAUGUUAAUACAAGUAGUAGUAUUAAUUAAUGGUAGAGGGCAUAUCUAAAAUUAUGGGAGAUUCAUUGCUUCCUGAAGGCCCUAUCACAAAGGAUCUGUCAAAUGCGUGGCUAAGGUGCUGUUUGGUAAAUGUCCGUUACCAGCCAAAAUUUUGCAAUUAUUGCUAAUGGGAAUCAGGGAAACCCCAAACUGGCCUUGAUGGUCCUUGCGUGAAGACCCAUCCAAUUCUUUACAUUGUGGCCACUGAUUUGGUGUCUUAUCCUCUCAUGCCCAUCACUUCAUGUUUACAAAUUGAUAUUGUAUUCAUAGCUAUUUUUUAUGAAGGUUCAAUUGGCAAGAAGUAUUUUUGCCUUGGGAAGAUGUUGGUUAUGGAUUUAAAGCAAAAUAAAAGAUUAAAAAAAUGAUCCUUGUACAAAUUUUUGGGUGCCUCUAUUAAUUAAGUGAAUAUUAUUAUUUAAUUGAUAAAUUAAUAAUUUAUUAAUUUAAUUACUUAUUAAUUAGAUCUCUGGAAUAAUUCUAUUAUGGAACCUAUCUUGCACUAAGAAGCAUCCAUAGCGAUAAUAAUAUUAAAUAAAUUUUUGUUAUAGUACAAGAAUGUUACAUCAGACCUUUUUUUUUUUUUUUUUCAUAUUAGGAAUAGUUAAAGAUGAGAUUUAAGUAAACAUAAGUUUUAAGAAAAAAUAACACAUAUAUUUUACGAAGGAUUCUUGAUAAAACAUAUGAAUUUAAUUAUAUAUUAGAAAAUUAUUAAUUUUUAUAAUAUGUGGAUUUUAUAUGAAACUACAUAGAUUUUUUUUAUAAUGUAUUAUUUUAUAAAUUUAUCAAAUUAUUAGUUUAGCACGAUGACCCCAAAUUUAGAUUAAUUAAAAAAAUAUUUAAUUGAAGUUCUUAAUUAAUUAAAUAUUAAUUUAUUAUAAAGUUUUAUUGUAUUUUAUUUUCAUGUUCUGAAAACUAGUCGAUUUGAUUGGUUUGAGCAUUGAUUGACUAUGUAUUUUACAUAUGAGAUCGAUUAUGAGUUGCACUUUCAUCCCAAGGUAUUUAAAAAUUAGGAAAAUCAAUCCCAAGGUAUCUAUUUUACUUUUCUUAGUCUAUUCACCAUUGUCCAAACACUCCAUAAGUGGAAUGUAACUUGGAGGGGCUUGAAUAUGCAGAAUUUUAUAAUUUUGCACAUUAAUGUCUCAGAGUGUUAAAAUCUUUUACAACUAAUUGUAGAUAAGUUUAGUAUUGACAAAUAAUUUUAUUACAAUUAAAUUAUUUUUUAAUUUAUAAAAAGGUUAAAAUAAAGAUAUUUAAGAAAUAUAGUACCUUAACAAUUAAAAAUAACAUUGGUUGAUGAUAUCUAAGAAAUUCAAUGUUUUCUUCAACCUAAAAUGAAUAUAAAAAUUUGGUAUGAGGAUUGUUUGCUCGACUAUUGAAACUUAUUGACAACAUAGGAAGAGACAAAACUUUUGGGGAUAUAUUAAUAGAGUGAGGAAUUUGGUACUUGAUUCAUAGAGUAAAAGUUGAACAAAAGCAUCAAGAAACAUCGGGGUUGGAAAUGAUAGUGCACUUUUUAAAAGUCAUAGGUGGAAAGAGGGAAAAUUAGAACAGAUGAACCUUAAUUUUUUGGUAUUUUUGAUAGGUGUUUAGUAAAAUAAUUUAAUAUUACAAUUUAUAGUUAAAAAUGACUUAGUAUAUAAGCAGUUAAAAUGAUUUAGGGCUUGUUUGACCGUGUUUUUUAAAAUUUUCUUUUAAAAUAGAGAAUAAAAAUAGUGAACAUCAAGUUGUUGGAUGGACCAAUUUCUACUCAAUGCCAAAGACAGAACCACACGAAUAGUAGUUAGUUUAACCACAAAACUAAAGGUUUCAAGGAAAUCAAAACCGUGAGUUUGAUGAAAUCCUUUCACCGCUAAAUGUGCCUUAUAACAAUCAAUAGUUCCAUUAGGUUUAAACUUCAAUUUAUAAACCCAGUAACAUCUAAUGGUAUUCUGAUUAGACCAAGGAAGAAUGAUGACCUAUGUUUUAUUUUUCAUAAGAGCUUCAAAUUCAAGAUGCAUAGCCUAUUGCCAUUUAGGAACUUUAGCAAUUUCCUUAAAGGAAUUCAGUUCACAAAGUGGGGGAAAAAUAGUCUUAGUAGGAGACAAAAAUAACUUGAGUUCGAAAAUGCCAUUUUUGGCACGCAUUAUCAUGAGAUGACAAGUAUAGUAUGAACAUAAGAGGAAAGAGGUUGGGUUGUUGGAAUAGGUAUAACCUUAGAAAAGGAAAUUGGCACACUAGAAUUAGAUAUUGGAACCAACUUUGAAGGUGGACAUAAUGGGGGAGGUAAGAGGGAAGAUAUUGGAGAUGAUGGUACUACCAAGGGAAUGACACAAUGAGAGAGGGAAACAUAAUAAGGAGUCUGAACUAUGGAAGACUUAGCAAAUGGGAAAUCUAGUUCAUAAAAAAUAACAUGUUGUGAUAUAUGUAUUUUAUGAUUGGACAUGUUUAAAUAAAGAUAUUCUUUAUGCUUAGAACUAUAGUUGAUAUUUUAACGGAUUGAUAUGCAAGUUUAUGACAAUUAAAAGGAUGUAGAAAAGGAUAACAAAUGCAACCAUAGACAUGAAGAUAAUAAUAAUUUGGUAGACAAUGGUAAAGAGUCUUAUACGGAUCAAGAAGAGAUAUUCAACAUAGAGGUAGGAAGUCUAUUAAUCAAAUAUAAGGUAGAUUGGAAAGCAAAAGGUCAAUAUUUAAGUGGAAUAGAAGCAUGAGCAAGCAAAGAAAGACAUAUUUCAACCACAUGUCUAUGUUUUCUCUCCACAUGACCGUUUUGUUGAAAAGUAGAUGGACAAGAUACUCUAUGCAGAAUCCUAAAUUUACAUAAAGUAUCAAUAAAGGCUUGAAACUCCCCUCCCUAAUUAGUUUGAAGCACUCUAACUUUAGUGUAAAAUUGAGUCUCAAUUAUCACUUUAAAUUGCAAAAAAGCAGAGAUAGCUUGAUUUUUAGAAGCUAGUAGAUACAACCCCAAGAAAAUCUUGUAUGGUCAAUAAGAAAAAAGUACAAAGUAUCUUGCUCCAUUAGCACCAACAAUAGCGGUAGGACCCCAUAGAUCAAAAUGUAUAAGAGCAAAAGGCUAAGAGACUCUAGAUUUAGACAAAGUAAAAGGUAAGUGAUGACUCUUUGCCAUUUGACAAGGUUCACAAAUACCUAUCCAAUGUUUUGAGGGCAUACUAUAAGCACUCAAAACUUUAUUGACUAUUUUACGUGCAAGAUGACCUAAUUAAAAUGCCAUAGAACUACCUUAUUGGGAAGUUGUAAUGCAAAUAACAUACACAGGACCUCAAUUGCCAAGCUUGUUCUUCUAACAAUUUUAUUACAAUUGGAAUCUAUAUUUUUUACCAGAAGCUGAAGAUGACAAUUUGUAUAAACCAUGGUUAAGGUUGCCUUGGAGAAGAGCCUUCUUUGAAGCUUGAUCCUUCAUCACAAAUCCAUUAGUAAAGAAUUCCACAGUAACAUUAUUGUCAGUACACAACUUAUUCACACUUAUCAGAUUGGUUGUAAGUUGUGGAACAUGUAAAAUAUUCUUUAGAUUUAAAGACUGAGAAACCGACAAAAUAGUAGAGUAUCCAAUAUUUGAGAUAUUUAAGCAAUUACCGUUUCCAAUGACGACUUUGUCCAAACUAGCAAAUGGAGUAUGUGCAUUCAAGUUGUUGAAAUUUAGAGUUAGGUGAUAUGUAGCUCUAGUAUCCAUGUACCAACUUCCAUCUCCAAUAGUGGCCAGAGUUGCAAUCAUUGCAGCAAGAUGAGGUUACUCAAUUCUUAGGGUUCUUCUUUCUCAUUGGUUUUUGACUCAGAUGAGUUAACUUAGUUCCUAGAGCUCUUCCUCAAUGACAAACAAUUCUGAUUAGAGUGUGGCAAUGAGUUCAAUGAGCAAGCUGGUGAUUGGUCAAGGCCUCACCAGUGAUGAGGAUGUUGGUGAUAGCAACAAUCUAGUUGGAGAAAUGAUUUUUUCCAACACCUUCAAACACCGUAAAAAUGAUCAUAUCAUCAUCAUGAUCUUAGAUAAGAGAAACUUAAAGUUUUUUUUUUUAUUUCAAUUUCAAAUUCAAAACAAAAUUGCAGAGCACUAGAUACAAAAAAAAGAAAAAAGAAAAUAAAAGAACAAAAAAUCACUAUAGAAACCUUAGAAAACACACUAGGAAGAAAAAUCAUAGACAAACUCACAGAAGAAUUUUAUGGCUUUAGGAGUCGGAGCCGGAGCUAGAGAAGAGUCUUAAUGGACAUUGAGGAGGGACAAGAAGAGGUGUUCAACUAUAAUUUAUAUAGGCUAUAUAUAUUGUAAAUGUUGGCUUUAAAAUGUAUCUGGUAGUGACCCAAUGGAAGUGGAGUCUAUAGGAACAUCUAUGGUAGCGAUCCAAAAAUUAUUGCAGUUAUAGGAGAAUAUAUAAUAGCACUUUCAACAGUAAUCGUGACUAUGUAUAUUUCCUGGAAAAUUUCCCACCAAUCCCAAUCUCAAUCCCUUUAGAUGCAUGUGGUUGGAAUAUGCAUGAGGCCAUAUAUUAUGCGGUUGGGAUAUGAAUGAGGCUAUAUAAUAUUUUUAGUUGUGGAUUUUCUUAGCCCCUACUAAAACUAUAUUGCCAUUUCCUAUUCUUCUUGUAAUGUCAAGUUGGAAAGUCAAACUUAAUUUAAAAACUUUUUAAAUAUUAAACUUAGAGUUAGAGUUAGGUGGUGUUUGUUUUUUUUUUUUGUUGAAAACAAUUUGUUUUCAGAAUUUAAGUCGUUUGUUUUUCUAUUUUUUCAUGACUUAUUAUAUACUUUUUACCAAACAGAAAAAACCAAAAUAUGUAGUUUUUUCUAAAUAGAAAAAAUAAUAUGUUCAUUUUUUUUACUUUUUAAUACUUAAUAGAAAUAAAAUACUACAAAAACAAACAACCUAAUAUUUAACAUUAUUAAGUAUUAAGGUUCUAUUUAGAAUUAAAUAAAAAAAAAUAAAUGCCACAUUAGUUUCUAAAUGUUAAGGAGAACAUUUUAUUUUGAAUGAUUAUUUAGUGUUUGUAUUUGAGUAGUUAAGUCGUCAAAGGUCUCUGUAUUUGAUUAUUAAGAGUUUCUAUUUGGAUAAAUGUGAGUAUAUUUAUAAACAAAAAUUCAUAUAUAUAAUAUAUAUAUAUAUAUUUUAAAAAAGCAAUAGAAUACAAUAAAUUUUUAAUUCUCUCCUAUUUUAUCUUUUUUAUAAGUGUGUGUUUCUCUUUCAUCUAGACAACUCACACAAUACUAACACAAUGAGAGUAAAAGGAGAAGGGCAACAAAGAGUUGGAGCCGGAGAUCAUUGGAGGAACGGGUCAACUGUAGGCCGGUUGUCCAUGGGCUCAUAUAAGUAACAAAAAUUGGAAAUGGUUUCUAUAUCUUAGUGUCGUCUAGAAGACGACAAUCUACCUGUCAGUGUGCAGCAGAAGAGAAAGCGUGAUAUCUACUUCGAGUCAAAACAAAAGGGAACCAGCUCGCAAUUCCUCCGAUACAUCAUUACCGACGUCAUAGCUCUAUUCCCCCAAUUCGUCACUACCAACUUCAUUCUAUCUCCAUUACGCAUUAUUUAAAGAGUCCCCAUGCAGAUGCUGUUCGAAACACAAGUCAGCUUUGACACAACCCCACGUCAUUGUGAUAACCCAUCCGGCACAGGUCCCUGUCCAAAGACCCAUCUUACUCUUUACAUUGUGGCCACUGAUUUAGUAUCUAAUCUCAGGCAAAAUUCACUGGUUUGAUGAAGGUUAUAGAACAAAACUUGUGUUAUUCUUAUCUUUGUUUUUGAUGAACUUUAAAGCAUUUAAAAAGAUUCAACUGGUAAGAAGUAUUUUUGCCUUGGGAAGAUGUUGGUUAUGGAUUAAAAGCAAAAAAGACCCUUGUACAUAUUUUUGGGUACCUGUCAAGCAAAUUAAUGCACAUCCGAACAUCACAACUGUUGUCUCUUAAAUUCUUCCAAUUGACCUGCUUUCGUCUUAUUGAGCGUCUGGGUUACUUGAUAAUGCAAAAACUCAUACAGUUAUUUCGAUAAAUUAAGAGCCUCAGGCAUCAAGGAAAAUCUAUUAUUACUUAAUCGAUAAAUUAAUAAUUUAUUAAUUUAAUUGCUUAUUAAUGAGAUCUCUUGAAUAAUUCUAUUAUGGAACAAGACACCAUAACAAUAUUAAAUAAAUUUUUGUCACAGUGUAAGAAUGCCGCAAUAGAUGUAAUAUGAGAAUGUGAUAUUUAAUUAUGGGCCUCCGCUUAAAAUAAGUAAAUAAAUAAUUAAUAAUUAAAAUUUAAAUAAAAUAAAUAAUUAAUUAAUAAUUAAAAUACAAAUACUAGACUCACAUUCUGAGCAGCCGCUUCUAAACUCUUAUACGCUACAAAAAAACAUACACAAAGAAAUCUAGGAUUCUAGAUUUAAGUGAAGAGAAAGAGGAUUUGAUCUUUUUGUUCUUUCUCGAAAAUUUCAUGGUAAGUGAUACUUCUUAAAGAUUUUUUUUUUCAGUUUUUCUUCUUAGAAACUUUAAUUUCCUAAUAAGAUUCAGAAAUAAUUAAUAAAAACAAGAAAUUAAGAAAUACAUUGAAAGUAAUUAAAUCUAAUAUGAUAGAAACCUAAUAAUAAUAAUAAAAAUAAUAGAAAGUUUGAUGUAUUAUUUCUGAUACCUAAAGGAAAAUUCUAUAUGAAAUUGUGGAGUUAAUGUUUUUUUUUUUAAAUAUAUAAUAAUAACAAAAAACAAUAGAAAGUUUGAUGUGUUAUUGCGUAAACCUAGAAGAAAAUUCUAUAUGAAAUAGUGGAGUUAAUGUUUUUAAAAUAUAUAUAUAUAUAUAUACUAGAAAUUCUUAUGUGUAGGAGAUAAGAAUUCUAUUGGAGGCCUCCAAUUUUAUUAUGUUAGGAUUCCAUAAUGAAUUAAAUUAAAUUAAAUUAAUAUAAUUUAGAUUAGAUUAAUUAUAACUGUGGGAAUUGAAAAGCUUAGGAUGACAAUUAAGAAAUGGAAAUAUGAUAUUUUUUCUAGAUAAAUGAAUAAUUUAUAUAUAUGUUAAAAAACUAUAUAUAUUUAGAAUAUAAUUAUUAUUAGAACAUUAGUUUAAAGAACCCUUAUAAUUUCUCAGGUAAUUCAAAGGAAAUUCUACCGCUUUAAUAUUUGGAGUUUAAGUCCAAUUAAGGGGACAAAUUAAAAAAUAUUUAAGUAUAAUUUUCUUUUGAAAGUUUCAAGAAAUUGGGAAAUAAUUUUGUUAUAAGGUAUAUGUUUGCUUAGAUGUGUGAUAUGAAUUUUUUUUUGUUUAAAAGAAAAAAAAAAUAGGACUAGUAAUCUAAUCCCUGUUAAUAAAGGAAAGUGUUUUGACUUUGGGUCAUAUAAAGUAACUAAAUUGGAAAAUGGUCUCUAGAUCUUAACUUUGGGUCGCGACUAGAAGACGACAAACUACCGGUCAGUGUACAGCAGAAGAUAAAGUGAGACAGGAUACUUAUACAUCUCUUGAAAUUAAUUUGUCUUUGGUCAAAACAAAGAGGAAGCAGCUCACAAUUCCUCCAAAACAUCAUUGCAAACGUCAUAGCUCUGUUUCCCCAAAUUCGUCAUUCCAUACUCUGCCUUCCUUAUUUAAAGAGUUCCAUGCAGAUGCAGAUGCAGUUCGAAACACAAGUCAGAUUUGAUCAUCCUCUGCAUAGACCCAACCGAAGUAUCUCCACUUCAUCUUCUUCCCCUACAAUGACACAACCCCAUUUCAUUGUGAUAACCUAUCCGGCACAAGGCCACAUCAACCCUUCUCUCCAACUGGCUAAGCGCCUCAUACGUGCUGGUGCCCAUGUCACAUUCGUCACUAGCACCUAUGCCGGUGAGCGCAUGGCCAAAACCCCAACCAUGGAUGGGUUAAAAUUUGUCACAUUCCCGGAUGGCUGCGACAGUGGCCUCAAGCAAAGCGAUGCCCUCCAAGGCUUCAUGUCUGAGCUUGAGCGUCUUGGCUCCCAAGCUCUUAUCGGCCUCCUCAUAGCCAGCGCUAAUGAAGGUCGUCCCGUUACUUGCAUAAUCUACGGCAUCCUGAUUCCUUGGGUAGCAGAGGUGGCGCGUAGUCUUCACAUCCCCUCCGCACUUUUUUGGAGUCAACCUGUCUCUGUUUUUAAUAUCUAUUAUUAUUAUUUUUGUGGCUAUGGAGAGCUCAUUCGCAAGAAAGUCAGUGACUCCUCGCCUUCCAUUGAAUUACCAGGACUGCCCUUGCUCAGUAGCCGUGACAUUCC
rnacentral:lncRNA from 1 species